AUGACAAAGAGACAGACAGUGGAGGCGCUAGACAAAAGCAUGCGGGACAUAAUGAAUAGACCAGAUCUUCCAUUUGGUGGAAAAACGAUCGUAUUUGGGGGAGAUUUUAGACAAGUGCUACCUGUUGUCCGAAAGGGAACAAGAGCCCAGAUAGUAGAUGCAUCACUACGCGGGUCGGAGCUCUGGAAUUGCAUGCAAUACCUACUACGCAUUGGAAAUGGAACCGAGGAGACAAAUGAUGAUGGUGAAAUACUUCUACCUACAAGUAUAUGUGUGCCAAAUAAGACGGAUGAUACCGCCUUGGGUAGACUUAUUGACAGUAUCUACCAAACGGGGAAUGCUUACCUAAAAGAUCCAGAGUACAUCACCUCAAGAGCAAUUUUAUCCACAAGGAAUGACUGCGUAGACAAGAUCAACCUAAAAAUGAUUGAUCGCUUCCAAGGGGAGGAGAUGGUGUACCACAGCUUCGAUUCAGUAGAAGAUGACCCACAUAACUACUAUCCACCAGAAUUCCUAAACACCCUAACCCCAAAUGGACUGCCUCCACAUAUGCUGAAGCUCAAAAAAAAUUGUCCAAUCAUACUACUCAGGAACAUCGACCCUACUAAUGGGCUCUGCAACGGCACCAGACUGGUCCUACGUGGAUUUCAGAAAAAUGCAAUUGAUGCAAAGAUUGUGGUAGGGCAGCACUCUGGAAUGCGAGUUUUCUUGCCUCGGAUACCAUUAUGCCCAUCUGACGACGACAUGUUCCCGUUCAGUUUUAAGAGAAAACAGUUUCCAGUCAGACUCAGUUUUGCAAUGACAAUAAACAAAUCACAAGGCCAGUGUCUACCUGCCUGA
rnacentral:rRNA from 1 species